ensembl:snoRNA
UGGAUUGAUGAUGGCUCCUGGUGGCGUAUGAGUCACAUACGAUGAAUACAUGUCUGGAACCUGAGGUCCAA